UAAGACGAACCGUGCAAACGUUGUUCGGAAUCACUGGGCUUAAAGGGCGCGUAGGCGGUCGGGCCAGUCCGGGGUGAAAUCCUGCAGCUCAACUGUAGAAGUGCCUUGGAUACUGCCCGGCUCGAGGGAGGUAGGGGUCUGUGGAACUUCUGGUGGAGCGGUGAAAUGCGUUGAUAUCAGAAGGAACGCCGGUGGCGAAAGCGACAGACUGGACCUCUUCUAACGCUGAGGCGCGAAAGCUAGGGGAGCAAACGGGAUUAGAUACCCCGGUAGUCCUAGCCCUAAACGAUGAGCACUAGAUUGUAGACUAGUCAUGGGUUUACAGUCGAAGCAAAAGUGUUAAGUGCUCCGCCUGGGGAGUAUGGUCGCAAGGCUG
rnacentral:rRNA from 1 species